rnacentral:lncRNA from 1 species
AAACACUCAAUUCCCAUCUAUGUCAAGCAGACACCUGAUACUGAAACCAGCUGUCAUGUCUUUAAAGACUGUCCAGAGCAGCUACAGUUUGCUGACAACAAGCCUCCAUUUUAUGAAAAGGAUUGAGGAUUCAAAUAAAGAAUCUUCUCAUCUUGCGCAGUUAUUACCUUACCAGAGGACUUUGCUGGUGAGUUCAUACAGGAGGUGUUUUUUCAGAAAGCACAUGAGGAGGAGAGAACAGUGCUUCACUGAACAUGUUGUACAGCCCCUGGUGCUGCAGCUCAGACCUGGAGAAGCCCUUACAGGUGGGUGGGCGGCUCCCAGGGCUGUCCCCUGCAGAACUGCUGGAUGCACCAUUUGCUGUCCUGUGAGAAGGUCCCUGCAGUUACAGAGCUUUCAGACUGGGACCAUCUCCAUAAUGUUUAAUAAGGACAAAGGAAUACUUAGAGAUGUGAAAUGGAAGCUAUUUCUGACAAGUUGGGAUGUUCAUGGUGCUUCGUGGGUUGUCAUUUGAAAGGCUUCACUCAUGGAUGAAAACAGGAAAUAAAGAAUUUAUUAUUGAAUGAGGGUAAAUUGACAGACACUUCAGACACACACUCAGCUUCAGUAUUUCAUCCUGCUUUAACUCAUGUGCAGGACAGAAGGGAACAUUUCCACCUGUGAAGUUCCUCUGAUGUGGCUGCAGAAGGUGCCUGGGAAUGCUUCCUAUACCAAUUGCAUCCACUAUUUUUCUUUAUCACACUAAAUCAUCUCCAACCAUUUGUGUUCCCUGUGUGCUAGAAAUGCUGCCAAGGCUGAAGGAGCCUGAAAUAAAUCAGGGAAGUGAUUGAUUGGCA